GACGAACGCUGGCGGCGUGCUUAACACAUGCAAGUCGAACGGUAAGGCCCUUCGGGGUACACGAGUGGCGAACGGGUGAGUAACACGUGGGUGAUCUGCCCUGCACUUCGGGAUAAGCCUGGGAAACUGGGUCUGAUACCGGAUAGGACCCUGGGAUGCAUGUCCUGGGGUGGAAGGCUUUUGCGGUGUGGGAUGGGCCCGCGGCCUAUCAGCUUGUUGGUGGGGUGAUGGCCUACCAAGGCGACGACGGGUAGCCGGCCUGAGAGGGUGACCGGCCACACUGGGACUGAGAUACGGCCCAGACUCCUACGGGAGGCAGCAGUGGGGAAUAUUGCACAAUGGGCGCAAGCCUGAAGCAGCGACGCCGCGUGAGGGAUGACGGCCUUCGGGUUGUAAACCUCUUUCAGCACCGACGAAGCGCAAGUGACGGUAGGUGCAGAAGAAGGACCGGCCAACUACGUGCCAGCCGCCGCCGUAA
rnacentral:rRNA from 1 species